rnacentral:lncRNA from 1 species
GGCAGUUAGGCUGCAGUGAAUUCUACAAAGAGGCUAUGGGAAAGAAACCUGGAAAGUACCCUUGGCUGUGUACAUUUGAGUAAAGAGAGCACUAUAAAAUCAAAAACCAAUGAAAUGGUUUCCAGAACACAGAACUAUUAAGCUUAAGAAAAGGACAGAAGGAACUGAAGAGAGAGGAACUGUUUUGGAGCAUCACACUUCCACCUCAGAAGAAAUAAGGAAGGAAGGAGGAGGGUGUUCCCACGGCUCUUCAACCAGGCCGGCUCUUCAGCCUACAUCCCCAUCUCAUCAAGUAAAAGGGAUUUUUCAACUGGACCAACCAGAUGGUUUAACAGUGCACUCCCACACCAUUCAACUACGCAAGGGAGAUACACUUAACAUAUGCAGUCGUAUAACACCUACUAACAUUUUCAAACAUUAAACCUUUAAAAAAGAGUUCUAAAGAAAUAGAAGCUUGAAGUAUCAUCUCUCAAGUAUAUAGACACUACUUCAUGGUGUGGUAAUAUAUGCAUAUAGAAGCUAGUAAACACCUCCAGGAGAUGCAAAAGGAAUUAGAACUGCCACAAGGUGCAAGCAAAACCUUGAGAGUGAAUAUACCUUGGAAGACGUGUCCUGCCUUUAGUAGCGUCACAAUGGAUUACAUCCUCUAUAAAGCAGUCUGGGAGGCUAACAUCUGCCACAAGACAAAUAUGGUGCCUGCCCCCAUGGAGCUCAUAUUCGAAUGGAGAAAAUGUCAACAAGUAUCCCACGGAGUGAACACUUCAAAAGGAGAAGCACAGGUGAGAAAAUCGAAUUUGGACACCGUUGAGGAGACUAUUGCAGUCAUCCAAGCUCAAGAUGGUGGAGCUUCAUCCUUGAGAAUAACCAAUGGGGAUAGAUUUAAGAGACACUUAGAGUCUGCAGCCAACAGGGCUGAAUGAGCAGAGAGUUAUGAUUCAGAAGAUCAUCUAAAAUUGAACAGCUGCCACUACUGGCAAUAAGUCUACUGCCAUUUGGUAGAUAACCUUCUUAUCACACAGAAAAAUAUCAGUACAGACAAAUAGACCGCAAAGAAAAUGAGACCAUCAGCAAAGAAGAUAAAGAAGUUUGUACAAAGCAACUUUUUAUAAAUGGAUGGCUGUCAGGCAAAAAUAAAUUUCCUGUGGACAAGACCAAGAGCAAGGCAAGAGGAAAAUAAACAUGUUUAAACU